AGCCCUUAAAUCCCAACCCUCAAUCUCUGUCAACUCUCUAAGUCUACUGUCGCCCUCCCCUCCCCCAUCCGGCCUCUUCGUCACUCGUCUGGUAUAGCCGUGCGCCUCCCGCCGCCGAUCGUUCCUCUGCUCCACGCUGUCAACGGCGUUCUGCGUCCGGUUCCUGCGUCCGCUGGUCUGCUUGCUUCUUUGCUCUUCUCCGCCGCUUCAUCUGCUCCCGGGAACGCAGCUCCUGCACCAUCGGGUUCACCUGUUUUCUUGUUCGUUCUCGAUACAUACAUGAUCGAGGAGGAGUUUGGGUUCGUAAAAUCGGCUCUCAAACGCGCGAUCGGGUUGUUGCCGGAUAACGCGCUUGUUGGGUUCGUUUCGUUUGGGACACAGACCUAUCGGUUUCCUCUGGGCCUUGAACUUGCUGAGGAGCUCUCGAUCUCCCACUCUACCUUUGAUGUUGAUUUGUUUCUUGGUAUUGCAGAAACAUGGAAUAGAAAGUCAAUCUCCAGACAACAGGGUACUAAACCUGGAGAAUAUGAACAAAACCAGACAUUGGAAAAUCGUGGGCUGUAGCGCAUACAAUGAACAAAACCAGACAUUGGAAAAUCGUGGGCUGUAGCGCAUACACAGGGGAGGGGCUGCUUGAGGGAUUUGAUUGGUUGGUUCAGGACAUGAUGAUACUUUAGGAUUUAGUCAAAUUAAGCAAUAGAGUUAGGGUUUUUUUUAUUGGCCCUCUCAGAGAACUGAUUAAAAUCCAUUUGUACUGUUUUAUUAACUAUCUUAUUGUUGUGGAAUUUAGUCAAGCUACGAAUUCGACAAAAAAAAAAAAAGUCAAAGCUGUGAAACUUUUUGGUUCAAUAGUAUUAUUGAAACUUUCAAUGGAAA